rnacentral:snRNA from 1 species
AUACUUACCUGGUGCCGGGAUUACCGUGAUCAGCUAGGCGGUGUCCCCAGGGAGAGGCGCGGGCAUUGCACUGCGCUCGUGCUGACCCCUGCCACUACCCCAAACUGGGGCAGAUGGGGCAUGCAAUUUUUGGUAGUGGGGGACUGCGUUCGCGCUAUCCCCCC